AGAGUGAACCAGCAGCUCACCCACAGCGCACAUACACAGAGUGACAGACAAAAACACACUUGGUCGCUGAGUGAACAAAAUGCAAAGAGACAUGAGUGACCGACAUUUUGUCUGCUUUUGUAUUGCCACUGCCACUUUUGAGUUUUCUGCCAAAUCCUGCAAACUUGCCUUUGAGAGCAUAAAGCCGAGCACUUCACAGCAGCCGACUUUACUAAACAAUAUCACCGCCUAAGUGAGCCCUCACCCACAGCAAUCUUCUCACAGAAGCUCCUCUUUACACCUUGGCGACCAGACAACCAACCUCUGGGGAUGCUACUUCCAGUUGAUAUGCACAGCGCCUCUCCUUCCAAUCAGUACUUCUUAAAGGUUGUUACUAAU